rnacentral:pre_miRNA from 1 species
UGCAGCCACAAACAUAUGCUGCAAGUACUAAUGCUUUGUUCGCUUGAGUUUAUCAGCCGAGUCUGAACACUACUUUAAUUUCAGCCAUGGCUUAUCAGCCAAGUGAACAG